rnacentral:misc_RNA from 1 species
UAUUAAAAUUUUUCUAGGAAAAUUUUAAUACAAAAGCAAUCAGAGGUUUGUGCCACCUUAAAACGCACACAAGCUUUCGUACCCUCUUUUCAAGAGUCAAUCCGUACUCGAGAUACCUUGAAAGAGAUACAUUCUUCCUCUCUUACUUUUCUUUAUUUCUCUUUAAAACUCUCUUCUUUCUGAUUAUCAGAUUCCAACAAUCUCAGGCUUAACAGAGAUACUGGGGACAUACCAAGCUGCAUUAAAAUAUUGAUAUGUCAACUUUCCGUUAUAAGUGCAAGCAGUUGGAUCAAGAGAUACAGUGGUGGUUUUCUGGAACAGGCAACCGAGCAUUUUGGAAAUUUGAGAAAAAAUUGGCUGAAUUGCACGAGUGGUACUGGAGUUUGGCACUAGACCCAUUUCCCUAUUCUGGGUUCUUUUACAAGUGCUUUUACGAAUUAUUUCAACUGUGGGUCAAACUAGGACUAAUUGUGCAAGUAAGCUACCUUAUUUUGCUCCUUGACUUUUUCGUCUACACCAUUCCAAAGAAAAUGGCUAGUCAGAUAGAAACUACAGUCGAAAAGGUUAAACAAAGUGGAAUACCAGCAGACAUACUGCGUAAACGCGCUGUGGAUUAUUGGAAGAAAAACAAUAGCCACAACUCGCAGAUGCAAGAUGUCCUACCCAAUGUGGAUGAAAUCUACGAGGGUAUGCGAGCAAAUAUUGCAAAAUAUCUUGGUCGCAGUUCCACUGUCACAAGUAUUGCCAAGCUCGGAAAGUGCAAGGUGUAUCGAAAGAAAAAUAUACCAUUAGCCAACUUGCCAAGUUUGCAAACCAGCUGUGUGCCCAUCACACUGACUGAGGAAAGUGUAGGAAAUUCUGACUACACAACUGAAGAAACCAAUUCAGAAGUGAAAUCAUUACACGUUGGAGCUAUUGAAAUCGUGAUGAAUAGCUUUGCGAGUAGUGAUUGUAACAUUCUUGGUGGUUUCUUACUAAUUGAUACAUGCCAUACAGAUAUCAACAAUGCUAUUCGUAGUAUUUUUGUGGCACCAAUGAGAGGAGGUCGACCAAUUAGGAUGAUUUCUUUUCCCGACACUCUGGUCCAGAUUGAGCCUAACAUGAAUAAGCGUUUUCAAUUGCUGUGUACAACAAGCAAUGGAGACUUCAUGCAAGGGCGAGAUCUGGCGAUGAUGCAUGUGAAUGUGCUAGCUCAUGCUGUCACGCACACAUCCACCUAUACUCCUACACCCUACUAUGAGAAAAUUCUCUCACGAGAAAAAGGAUUUAUUGUGGAGUAUCUGAAUAGGAUGACUUAUGCGGUUCAUAACCAAAAUCAUCCUACUGAAAAAGAUUUGCUUGAAAGUGAUUUCCAAUUUGACUUUGAAGGGCAACCAGUGCUUAAGAGAAUCUCAUCUACCAAAGCUAUUUUCUCUAAAGGUUCUAGUUUUCGAUAUAUGAUUUCUGGCAAAAAAGAGCACAAGAUUGACAAGCCAAGGCUAGAAGAAGAUGGUAGUAAGAGUUACAUUGAUGGUUUACAAGAUACCUUUGACACGACUCAUGCUACUCUGCAAUCUGGGGCUGAUCUAUUCAAACGAAAUUUGGAUGAUGUAAGCACCAUUUCGGACACCAUGCUUGGGGCCAUGAUUGGACAAACCAAGGUGGUGAUUCCAAAAACAUUAGUUGCAGGUACAGUUCUCAAAAGUGGACCGCUUUCAGAUGUGAUGCAGCAGGGAUCAUUCCGAUCAACAAUAGCAUUGCAAAGAACACAUAUAAUAACUGGAAAAAUACAUGUUGUUGCGAUGCUUGAAACUGCUGUAAAUACAGGACUGGGAUUGGCCAUUUGUUUCAAUAGUGGCAUUCGAGGAAAAGCUUCUGCAGACAUCUAUGCCACGUGUUCACAAGAUGCCAUGAUCUGGAAUCCAUCAUGCACCAAGGUUAUGCAAUAUGCAUUUAACCCUAACCCGUGUUCUGAUGGCUGGAGCUUGGCUUUUUUGGAGAGAACUGGUUACCAUUGUGUGGUCACAUGCGUGACAGGAUGGACUGGAACGCCAUUGCAAGACACCUUUAUGACCAUAAACUGGCAUAUUUCUAGGGAAGCAUGUGUACCAAAAAUAUAUACCAUUUUUGAUCCAGAACCAGAUAUGAUGUUAAAUAGAUGGAUGGGACGUGCUAUCUUUCCUCAGCAAAGUACGCAGGUUGUGAGGAGAAUGCCACUUUCCAUUGGUGGUGGUGCAGGUGCAAAGAAUUCAAUUUUGAUGAACCUUCCAAAUGCAAUACUAUCAAUGUGGCGUUACUUCAAGGCUGAUCUUGAGUUUGAACUCAUCAAGAUGUCCUCCCCAUAUAUAAAUGCGACAAUAGCAUUUUUUGUGGCCUUUGGGGAUCUCUCUGAUGAUACAGUUAAUUUUGAAGCUUUUCCCCACAAGUUAAUUGUCUUUUCUGACAAGCAAGACAGGACGACCAUAUCUUUCUCUAAGGAUGAAUUUUUGAUGGCAUGGUCCACACAGGUUAGGCCCGAUACUAAACUCAGUGAGGAUGGUUGCCCCUACCUGUAUGCCAUAACGCACAAUGGUGUUAGUUCUUCUGUGGAAGGAGAUUUUAUUCUUGGUAUCAAGAUGGUCGGGCUCAAAGCUGUAGAAAACAUAGGAGUGAAUCCAGGAAUCAUUGGAUCGCGCUUGUUAGGGGCAGUUGCCCAAUCUGGACAGACACAGCAGGUUUGGAAUAAGAUCUGGCGCAUUGGAACUCCACCGCAAGCCACAGAUGGUUUGUUCUCAUUUUCUAUAGAUCUUCUUGGAGUUGAACUGGUUACUGAUGGCCAGGAGGGGGCAGUUUCUGUAUUGAGCAGCAGUCCAGUAGCAAAUUUGCUACGCACAGCGGCUUGGAAGUGUGGAACGCUGCAUGUUAAAGUUGUUAUGACUGGGAGAGUUACUACCACUCGAGCCAAUUGGGCAUCACAUACCCAAAUGUCACUAGUGAAUUCUGACAAUGCUCAGCAUUAUGAAGCACAGAAAUGGAGUGUUUCUACACCACAUGCGUGGGAAAAGGAAUUUUCUAUAGACAUAUGUGGUCCCAACAGGGGUUUUGAGAUGUGGCGCUCAUCUUGGAGUAAUCAAACCACAUGGAUAUUAGAAUUUACGGUUGCUGGAGCUUCUCAGUCCGCAAUAUUCGAAAUAUUCUAUCGGCUUGAUAAUUCAUGGAAAAGUGCUGGAAAUGUUUUAAUGCCACCAUUGUUGGUUGGGAAUCCCAGGCUUGACAUCAAAGGUCGUGCCGCUGCAGCUGCAUAGUACUAUACUUUAACUAUUUGCUUUAAAUAAGCCUCAUAAGUCUAUGACCCCAAUUUGGUAUGCUCUAGCAGAGGUAAGUUUGGUUUGCAAUUUCUUUAUUUUUGUUGUAAACAUUGUAAUUAGCGUAUUGUGUGGUAGUAUAUGUUAUGCUCUUUUCACAUUUCAUCCAUGUAUUCCCAAGUCACUUUGACUCUAGGUAAGUGGAUUAAGCCUUACAUACCAGGCCGGUCUUGGGCAGCGACUGUUAAAUAUGUCCAAUCACUGAGGUAUCAUACGCCAUUUAGUUGGUUGUGUUGAUAUCGUCUAAACAGUUGGCGUUAACGCUUAUGCAUACAUUCAGAUUUUAUGUGCUUUAUUGCAUGUACGAAUGUACAGCAUUUGCUGUUGUAACGGGCUAGUUUAGAAUUAUUUAUAAAAGUGUGCAAUGUAGUAAUUAUGUGUGACUUUAAUUGUUCAUUGUUCUUCUUUU